CAACGGGUGCCGUUCACACCCCGACUGUGUGCCCCCUGCCAAGACAUCUGGCUUCUGCAAGCUUUUGGGCCGUCACCUGCAGAGUGGGGAUGGGGACACGUCCCCUCGCUGGCGGGCUCUGCGAAUUAACAAGGUGCAGAGAGAGGGAGAGACAGAAUCCCAAGCAGGCUCCUCUGUGCUGUCAGCACAGGACCCAACGCGGAGCUCGAGCCCACGAACCGCGAGAUCAGGAUCUGAGCUGAGCAGGCCCUGUACCUCCCAGCUGAAAUGUGUGUUACAAGCACGGCCGGUUCCCCACACACGUGGGCCAGAUGUUUGGCAGGCCAAUAGGCAGAAGAGUUAUCGCCAGGAAAAAACAAAAAACAAAACAAACAGAAAGGUCAUACCCUCGGUCUUGGUGGAACAGGGACGUGGACUCGUGAGGUGUGGGUCCGUGGUAGCCCAGCGCCAGCCUGCCCCUCAGUCAACAGAAAGGGAGCGUCCCUGAACCCCACAAAGCUGGCUCCAGUCAACGGAGAUCCCGUAGCCCGGUCUAGGCAUAGACGGACACAGCAGAACACAGGAGAAUUCUGAGACCCCAGAGAGGGACGUUUGUGGGUGCCGAUGAAGCGAGCCCUGGCAGUGGCAGCGGGGUCUCGGGGAGUAGAGGUCUCAUCUCGGGUGGACCGUCAUCACCCCUCCUGCGUCCCCACGAGGAGUAGAAAGAAAAACCAGGCAGGGCCCCCUCGUGUUGGCCUGCCAGGUGAAAUCAGAGGGUAGGGCCGGCGUCCUGCCUCUAUCCCGUGUACCCUGGGCCGACCGUGUCUAUCAGGAGGGUGCGUGCACUCACGGGGAAGCACGGGCCCCCUUGUCUAACCACAGAGGUGCCCCCAUGGGCACCGGAGGUCCCAGGUUCCCCGGGGGCUGUCCUUGCCUGGACAUUUCCUGUCUCCCCAGCCCUCAUUUCCUUUCUGUGCUGAUUCAG